rnacentral:lncRNA from 1 species
UUGAGUCGGGAAGCAAGGUGUUACAUAGUGGUAUCAUAGAAGAUUGGUUCAUCCGGAAGGUUAUGUAAUUUUGUUUUUUCUCUGGUACACGACAUGUAUGUGAAACAUUGUUGGUGUUUGUUUGUUUUCUAACCGCUUGUUAGUGGGGGAUAAGCUUCUGCUUCUCUAAGAGGUUUUAGGUGUAGAGGAUUGGUUCAGUGCUCCGUUGAUUGAAAGAGUGUAGGUUGUUGGAUGAGUCAG